rnacentral:rRNA from 1 species
GAUGAACGCUGGCGGCGUGCCUAACACAUGCAAGUCGAGCGAAGCACUUACUUUAGAUUUCUUCGGAAUGACGAAGUUUGUGACUGAGCGGCGGACGGGUGAGUAACGCGUGGGCAACCUGCCCUGUACAGGGGGAUAACAGUUAGAAAUGACUGCUAAUACCGCAUAAGCCCACAGCUUCGCAUGAAGCAGUGGGAAAAACUCCGGUGGUACAGGAUGGGCCCGCGUCUGAUUAGCUAGUUGGUAAGGUAACGGCUUACCAAGGCGACGAUCAGUAGCCGACCUGAGAGGGUGACCGGCCACAUUGGGACUGAGACACGGCCCAAACUCCUACGGGAGGCAGCAGUGGGGAAUAUUGCACAAUGGGGGAAACCCUGAUGCAGCGACGCCGCGUGAGCGAUGAAGUAUUUCGGUAUGUAAAGCUCUAUCAGCAGGGAAGAAAGUGACGGUACCUGACUAAGAAGCCCCGGCUAACUACGU